UACGUAGGGUGCGAGCGUUAAUCGGAAUUACUGGGCGUAAAGCGUGCGCAGGCGGUUUUGUAAGCCAGAUGUGAAAGCCCCGGGCUCAACCUGGGAAUGGCAUUUGGGACUGCAAGGCUUGAGUGCGGCAGAGGAGACUGGAAUUCCUGGUGUAACAGUGAAAUGCGUAGAUAUCAGGAGGAAUACCGAUGGCGAAGGCAGGUCUCUGGGCUGACACUGACGCUCAUGCACGAAAGCGUGGGGAGCAAACAGG
rnacentral:rRNA from 1 species